rnacentral:rRNA from 1 species
CUACGGGUUGCACCAGUAAGGAAUAUUGCGCAAUGGAGGCAACUCUGACGCAGCCAUGCCGCGUGCAGGAAGAAGGCCUUAUGGGUCGUAAACUGCUUUUAUUUAGGAAUAAACCCCCGAACGUGUUCGGGGCUGAAGGUACUAAACGAAUAAGCACCGGCUAACUCCGUGCCAGCAGCCGCGGUAAUACGGAGGGUGCAAGCGUUAUCCGGAUUUAUUGGGUUUAAAGGGUGCGCAGGCGGGCUAUUAAGUCAGUGGUGAAAUCCCGGGGCUCAACUCCGGAACUGCCAUUGAUACUGAGAGUCUUGAGUUUGGUUGAAGUGGGCGGAAUGUAGCAUGUAGCGGUGAAAUGCAUAGAUAUGCUACAGAACACCAAUCGCGAAGGCAGCUCACUAAGCCAAAACUGACGCUCAUGCACGAAAGCGUGGGGAUCAAACAGGAUUAGAUACCCGGGUAGUC